CUUUCACCUUCCCUCUCCAGAAACAGGGCCACUUCUAAAGCCAUGGUCAUCAAACUUCUCUGCUCCCACAUCCCCCGAAAAAAUUGUGAAAAAGUCACCUUCCACGCUUAACACAGACGUCUACCUUCUGCAACACAAUGCGAGCGGUUGCAGGGGUCUGAGUUCCCGUGCACCAUCAUCAUUACCGUGUUAACUGUGGUGGCCUGUGUUCCGCUGGCCAGGGUUCCGGGAAGAGGGCAGCUUUUAUUCCGAAAUGACUCUAAGUCCUUACGGUGAGAAAUGAUGACAGCCGCGGACCCAUAGCCGGGCGGCAGCACACGCCGGAGGGGGCCGGUCCGCCCAGCUCACGACCAACAGUGGCAGAAGCAGAUUCCUACUGUCUACAAUAACCCUCGCCGGCACCAGCGAUAUUCCAGUUAACAUCAGUUUGUGGACAAAACAAGCCUUGUUUGAGGACACCUGGCCUGAUCACUGACGGAGGCGCAGCACCGGGAGUGACCCGUCACCAGUUUUCCAGCCGUGUCCUGUUGCCAAGGGACAGGUUCUUGGUGACCUCAGGCUCCCAGGGAAGCUGAACUGGAGGGAGCAGGUGCGGCGCAGAGGCAAGUGUUUCAUGUGCUCACAAAGGAAAAGUUAUCAACUUGCUGUCAGUCGGCUGAAGAUAAAAAGUCAUCUUAAAUCUGGAAAAACAAAACACUUAUUAAAAGUCAGCAGAAAGUCAUAAAAAUUAGAGCAGUCCUGCUCGGUUCAGUCAGCCCCGGGUCACUGGUUCUCGUUCUGCUUGGAUACAGUGUUUCCGCCACUUCUGGAAAUUUUUACCCAGCUCAGCUUUAUGAUCCCCGUGAUUAGCAACCUGCGCCGGGAAGGCGGCUGCCUCGAGGCGUCUGAGUGGAAGUAGGACAGUCUGUGAAUGACAGAAGGGCCUACAUGUGCCCUCGGUCGCAGAUCUGGUGAGAGCUCAGGACAGCGCAACAGAGGAAUUCGGUGACUUCAUGACGCGGAGGACUCCAAGUGGAAGUGGGCUGUGGAAGUGGGCUGGGCAGGUACCGGUUUUAAUCAUCCGUCUGUCCAUGCGUCCAGGCGAACCACAGGCAACAGGGGCCUGCCGGCCUGGGAGACGCCAGGGCCACAGGUUAGAGUCGCAGAGCCGUGGGGUCCCAGCCAGGAGACAGUCAUCUACUCCUGGGUCUCCUCGAAGUGCAGGCAGGAUUUCACGGGCUACUCAGUCUGGGAGGACCAUCCUUUGAGUUUGUGUAAUAAUUCCAGGACCACAUUUGAUGGGGGAGUCCUGGCUUGAUAAUAAUCCACCUUUCUUCGAAUGGCUACGGGUCUAUGGGAUGAGGAAGGCGUAUCUGGAGUCAGUACAGAUGCUGACUGUUAAGACUUGGCAGAUGGCAAAGACAGGUGGGCGCUAUUGACUCUGCUCUGGGGACAGACGUGUUUGUGACAGAGCGGGGGCCUCAGCAGGCACACCCAGCUUUCCUCACUCCCUUCUCCAUGAAACCACCGCCGCGGGUAGGACGGCUGUCACCUGCGGCUUUGACAGCGGGUCCGUGAGGAUAAGCAAGACUAAUGAUGUCCGAACAGGUUGUCGGAAGCACAGCCCGGCGUCCUGCACUCCAGGCUUCCGGACUUCAGGCUGCUGAAGACCUGCUGUCCAGUGACUUCGAUCCAUCAUCGUCCAAGCAGCGCUCGGCGUCUCAGGUCAGCGAAGACUUUGAGAGCCGCCCUGACGAUCGCCCCCGAAAACUAGACACAGACGUGACCGACCGUUUUAAGUCAUCAUUUUGCAGACAGAUCGCAGCAGAGGUGACAGGAGCGUCUUUGACCCCCAGCAGCCUCAGUGGAAUAGGAGUUUUGAGUCUUUAACGCUGACACCUCCAGAGACGCGUCCCUCCUGACUCAACCUGCAAACCUGAACGGAGACUCCUCUCUCGCAGGACUGCAAGCGCUCGGCGGGAACCGUCUUUCCUUCCCGGAGCCUGAGGUCGGCAGUGGCGCCUGAGAAACAAGGCCCCCGGCCGGGGGCGCUGGGCCGGGCUUGUGGGGUGUCGGCCUGGGCGCUGCCCCCCCUUCUCCUCCUCACCGAGUUCGUGCUCCAAACAACCAGCCCCACUAAGGACAAGACCACUUUCUUCUCCUGAAACAAACAAAAAAAUACAUUCCCGCUUUUUAUUCCCCUGACAAAUUUCAUAAUAAAUUAUGAAUUUAUUUGAGUUCCGGCCGACACAAGCAGAAGGAAAGCCCAUUUCAUGCUGAUAGUUACAGAGACGCGCCUGUUUCGGUGGAACUGACAGCCCUGAACUUGCUUUAGGAGCGACUCGCCCCGGAUCCCUUGAACUUGACCACCCCGCCUAGUCUGAGUUUCGGAGUGCCGUCUUCCCGCGCACCUGCCUUCGGGCCGUUGGACGGGCGCGCUCCGCCAGGAUUCCCCCGUCCCCGCGCGCCCGGGAGCGCACCUCCCACGAGGGCAGGCCCCGCACAGCUAGACAAGACCGCGCAAACCCUAGGGCUUGUGUACGGGACACUGGCGGCAGGUCCGCUUUUCAACUACUUCAAUUCUUCUUCCUCCGGAGGAACACAAUUCCUAGACGUUUGCUUUCAAAGAAAGGCUCUCUGGGGUCCCGGAGGGGCAGGAGGGGCGGGAGGUACAAAAUCCACAGCCACAGAGAGGGCAUCUCACGUUCCCCCGGGGGAGACGGCCCCUCCGCCGGCCGGAGAGACGCUGGAGUCCGGCCCCUGCGGCGGCGGCGGCGGCUCCAAAAGGCCUCUUCCUCCUUCCCGUCCCGGGUGCUUCUGAGCCGCGUUGACGUUCGAGACAUCCGUAGUUUUAAGGGACAGAGAAAGGAUUAAAAACACCUUUUUUCUCCAGAGUUUCAGAGUAACUGCUAUUUAAAAUGGAUCCUCUUUUUUCUUAAGUACGGGACCAUCUUGUUCCAACAGCCUGGUCUUUCCUAAACCCCGCAGCGCCCUGCAGGAGCCCGUGAGGUGCGGGGCAGGGGGCAGGCCUGUGGCUCCGCACGUGGCUUCAGCGGCUCGUUCCGGGUUCCGCAGACGUGGGGAGGACGGAGGCAGCUGCGUCGCAUUCCCCACGCUCUGGAUCACAGCCUGAGUCUCGAGAGACUGGCCUCUCUUUUUAACUAGUUUUUGUUUUCCAUCAGGGAGAUUUUCAGCUAAAAUGAGAAUCAAUUAGAUCUUUACGUGUGUGUGUUUUAAAACACACAGCGUCGGGCUCGAGCCCACAACCCGGACCUGGAGAGUCACACGCUCCUCCGCCCGAGGCAGGCAGGUGCCCAGGCUGCAUCUUUUAAGGUGUGCGUGAAGCAUUUUAGUAUCAGUUUUCUCUUCGGUACAUGGCUGAGCCGUGGCUUCUGCUAACUUCUGGCCUUUGGAGGAUCAGCCGUCAGAGGGCCUGGGGGAGCCGUGCUGCGCUUUCUCUGUGAAGGGGGAAGGUCGGACAGUCAUCAGCCUUUUUAAUUAUUUGAAAGCAGAGGUAAAGGGGCUUUAUCAUUUAAAAGUGGGGUUGCGGUCGGGGUUGGGGAGUGGUGGGGCGGCAGGACUCUCUGGCGGUAGGGGGUCCGGGAGCCCGAGCCCACGGCCUGGUCAGCGGGGCCGAAGCCAGUCUCCCUCCUCCUGCGAAAUUUGUCGCCCAGUUUUCACCAUCUCUUCAAGCAACGGGGACACGUCGAACCCAGAGGUCAUGCCGAGGGCUGUCUGUGAACCGUGCAGGGAAAGGGAGGUUCAAACGGGCCCUGGAGGCUGAGUUUUAAGAACAGGAAUUUACACCAGAUACGAUUUAUUUUCGAAGUCUCCGUCCUGUUCUUCCAACCUGUCGGUGGCCGUCCCUGGGACCAGCCAUUCCACUGACGAGAUGCCUCGAGAGCUCUCUGAAAACCAAGUUUUGCUUUAUAAAUGUAGCCAAUUUGAAGGAUCCACUGUCCGGCCCUCGACGAGUAGAUCUAUUAACAGGAACUCAAACCCGAGCCCUCGAACGGCUUUGCCAGGGACACAAGGGCUGUCCAGACUGGGCCCAGAGGUGCGGCCCCCGUGAUCCGAAAGUUUGCUCCCGAAAUUGGUCUAAGCAAGCAAAUGCUGCGUGGCACCGGUGGUAAGGGUCCUACGGAGAGAACAGCUCGUCUGGGACACGAGCAGGGGCAGGCGUUCCUGGAAGGGGAGUCUCCCUCCAGUACUGACCCACCACGCAGACCGAGACGACAAACGUCCUUAUGGGCUGGAACCUCUCAUGGCAAAAAGUCCGAGAGCGGACCAGGCGGGGAGGGGGCUGCGGUCCCCGGUCCACUCCCCGGGCCACGCAGGUGCACCGGGUACACACACCCUCCAGAUCAGGGAGCCCAGACGCUGCAUCCUCACUCGUGCCUCGGGUCUCAGGGCCACACUGAGACCGAGGACCGAUGUGCCUCGGGGUCGGGGACCGUGUACUGUUCUACGAGGACCUUCCUGCACGGACGUGUUCUUGACGUCCUACCGUCAGCCUAACCCCCCACCGACUUACCCUGGCCCAGGUGUCUUCUCGAGGAACCAGGCCCGCUAGCGGCUGGACCACCACAUCUGUGGCUUUCAAUUCCACAACGUCCCUCAGCAACAGCCUUGAACCCACAGCAGCGUUGUCCCGACAGACAGCGGCUGGCGGGAACCGGGGCCUCACCAGCCUCUGGGGCCCGUGCCCGCCUCUGCCCUGUGGGAAUCCCUUCCCGUACAAGCUACGUACAGGACACACACAGGGGAAAACAAAGACCAGCUCCGGGAGGAAGGAGAACAGAAACCAGGGGACUCGACCAAAUUAGCCAGGCGCCCUCGGCCCGAGGAUGUAGCGCCACGGGGCCUCCUCCUGAGGGCCUGCGUUCGGAGGAAAGGACAUCACCAGCAGCGUUCUCUCCACCCGACGCCGCAGGGUCCAGCAGGUUCAAGGAUCUGGCCGACCACCCCAUCUGUCGCGGAGCAGGAACCCCGUCCCCUUCCGGGUCCCUCUGGCCGGACU